rnacentral:tRNA from 1 species
GGUUGUGGCUCAGUGGUAGAGUGCACACCUAGCAUGUCGUGUGAGGUGCUGGGUUCGAUCCUCAGCACCA